UACAGAGACUGCAAGCGUUAUUCGGAUUCACUGGGCGUAAAGGGUGCGCAGGCGGUUUGGUGUGUCAGGGGUGAAAGCCCGGGGCUUAACCCCGGAAUUGCGCCUGAAACUACAUGACUAGAGCAUUGGAGAGGGUAGCGGAAUUCACGGUGUAGCAGUGAAAUGCGUAGAUAUCGUGAGGAACACCAGAGGCGAAGGCGGCUACCUGGACAAUUGCUGACGCUCAGGCACGAAAGCGUGGGGAGCGAACAGG
rnacentral:rRNA from 1 species